rnacentral:rRNA from 1 species
AUCAAUUUAAUUUGAUUAUAUUGUGUUUAAAUUAUAAUUAAUUAAUAAAUAAAUUAAAUAUAUUUAUAUUUUAGUAUAUUAUAGAAAUAAUGAAUUUAAUUAUAGUAAAUUAGUAUAGUAAUAGAAUUUUUUUAUAAAUAUUAUAUAAGAAGAAUUAAUAAUUUGUACCUUGUGUAUCAGGGUUUAUUAAUAAAAUAUUAUUAAAUUAUAUUUCUCGAUUUUUAAUGAGUUAUUUAUAUAUUUAUAUUAUUGUUUUAUAAAUAUUUAUAAUAUAUAAAUAGUAGUGAAAUGCUAUUCAAAUUUUAAUAUAUCUAGUUUUUAAAGAAAAAAGUUUAAUUUUAUUUAUAUAGAGUAGUUAUUUAAUAUAUAAAGAAUAGAUAAUAUUUAUAUAAAUUAUAUUAUAAGGGAUAAGCUUUUUAAUAAAAUUCUAUAAAAAAAAAUUUUUUUAGUUUAAAUUGUAGAAUUAAAAAUUUUCAUCAUUUAAAAUAUGAUAAUGAAUUAAAUUAUUAGUUAAAUAAUUUAAAUUUAAUUUUAGGUUUUUUAUUUAAAAUUUAAAUGUAAUAUAAAAAGUUUAAUUUAUAAUGAUAGAAUUAGUAUAAAGUUUAUAGUUAAUAAUAGUUUAAAGUUAAGGUUAAAUAAAGGAAUUCGGCAAAUAUUAUUUUUCGCCUGUUUAUUAAAAACAUGUCUUUUUGAUAUUAAUUAAAAGUCUAGCCUGCCCACUGAUUCUUUAAUUUUUAAAUGGCCGCAGUAUUUUGACUGUGCAAAGGUAGCAUAAUCAUUAGUUUCUUAAUUAGAAACUAGAAUGAAUGGCUGGACGAGAAAGUAACUGUCUUUAAAUAAUUAUAUUAGAAUUUUAUUUUUAAGUUAAAAAGCUUAAAUAUUAUUAAAAGACGAGAAGACCCUAUAGAAUUUUAUAUAUUUUUAAUUAUAGAUUUUUAAUUUUAAUAAUAAAAUUUUUAUAAUAAAAUAUAUUAAGUUGGGGUGAUUAAAAAAUUUAAUUAACUUUUUUUUAAAAUAAACAUUAAUUUAUGAAUAAUUGAUCCAUGAUUUAUGAUUAGAAGAUUAAAUUACCUUAGGGAUAACAGCGUAAUUUUUUUGGAGAGUUCAAAUCAAUAAAAAAGUUUGCGACCUCGAUGUUGGAUUAAAAUUAAAAAUUGGUGUAGAAGCUAAAUUAUUUAGGUCUGUUCGACCUUUAAAAUUUUACAUGAUCUGAGUUUAAACCGGUGUAAGCCAGGUUGGUUUCUAUCUUUAAUUUUUUAUAAUAUUUUAGUACGAAAGGACCAAGUAUUAUUAAAAGUUAAUUUAUUAUUUAGAAUAUUAGUAAUUA